rnacentral:rRNA from 1 species
AACGAACGCUGGCGGCAGGCUUAACACAUGCAAGUCGAACGCGUGUAGCAAUACACGAGUGGCGCACGGGUGAGUAACGCGUGGAUAUCUGCCUUUUGGUUCGGAAUAACCCCGGGAAACUGGGGCUAAUACCGGAUGGUUCCUUCGGGAUAAAGAUUUAUCGCCAAAAGAUGAGUCCGCGUCCGAUUAGCUAGUUGGUGAGGUAAUGGCUCACCAAGGCGACGAUCGGUAGCUGGUCUGAGAGGACGAUCAGCCACACUGGGACUGAGACACGGCCCAGACUCCUACGGGAGGCAGCAGUGGGGAAUAUUGGACAAUGGGGGCAACCUUGAUCCAGCCAUGCCGCGUGAGUGAUGAAGGCCUUCGGGUUGUAAAGCUCUUUUGGCGGGGACGAUGAUGACGGUACCCGCAGAAUAAGCCCCGGCUAACUUCGUGCCAGCCGCCGCAGUAACAC